rnacentral:lncRNA from 1 species
UGGGGUCGGCUUAGUGAAGGUUGGGGUCGGCCCUCUCAAUAAAUUCCAGAGACUUAUUUUCUUGAGGCUUAAAGAUGGAGUCGACUCAAGCAUGCUUGGGGUCGACUCCACUACUGUUCAUCCGUGCCAAUUUCGCAGAGGUGUGCCUAAUGGUUCCAUGAUGUGCCGGGGUCGACUCCACCUUUCUUGGGGUCAACUCAUUCCACACUUUGCUGCAUCUUAAGGUUAGAUUCAUUCAUACAAUCAAUGAAAUAUGCUUCAAACAAUUUUGAAUGUAUGCCAUGGUAGUGUUACAUACUCUUAACAAUGAAAGUUACUAUUGUGCCCUUAAGAGUACGUUUCACUUGAAACUUUG